rnacentral:rRNA from 1 species
CCUACGGGUGGCAGCAGUGAGGAAUCUUGGUCAAUGGGCGCGAGCCUGAACCAGCCAAGUCGCGUGAAGGAUGACUGCCCUACGGGUUGUAAACUUCUUUUAUAAAGGAAUAAAGUUAGGCACGUGUGCCUUUUUGUAUUUACUUUAUGAAUAAGGAUCGGCUAACUCCGUUCCAGCAGCCGCGGUCAUACGUAGGUUCCGAGCGUUAUCCGGAUUUUUUGGGUUUAAAGGGAGCGUAGAUGGGUUGUUAAGUCAGUUGUGAAAGUUUGCGGCUCAACCGUAAAAUUGCAAUGGAUACUGGCAGCCUUGAGUACAGUUGAGGUAGGCGGAAUUCGUGGUGUAGCGGUGAAAUGCGUAGAUAUCACGAAGAACUCCGAUUGCGAAGGCAGCCUACUAAUCUGCCACUGACAUUGAUGCUCGAAAGUGUGGGUAUCAAACAGGAUUAGAUACCCCUGUAGUC